GUUUUUAUAGUUGAAUACAACACUGAUUUUUCAGGUCAGAGGUUUUGGUAAAAACCCAAGUAAAAAUU
rnacentral:tRNA from 1 species